GAUGAACGCUGGCGGCGUGCCUAAUACAUGCAAGUCGAGCGAACGGACGAGAAGCUUGCUUCUCUGAUGUUAGCGGCGGACGGGUGAGUAACACGUGGAUAACCUACCUAUAAGACUGGGAUAACUUCGGGAAACCGUAGCUAAUACCGGAUAAUAUUUUGAACCGCAUGGUUCAAAAGUGAAAGACGGUCUUGCUGUCACUUAUAGAUGGAUCCGCGCCGCAUUAGCUAGUUGGUAAGGUAACGGCUUACCAAGGCAACGAUGCAUAGCCGACCUGAGAGGGUGAUCGGCCACACUGGAACUGAGACACGGUCCAGACUCCUACGGGAGGCAGCUGUAGGGAAUCUUCCGCAAUGGGCGAAAGCCUGACGGAGCAACGCCGCGUGAGUGAUGAAGGUCUUCGGAUCGUAAAACUCUGUUAUUAGGGAAGAACAUAUGUGUAAGUAACUGUGCACAUCUUGACGGUACCUAAUCAGAAAGCCACGGCUAACUACGUG
rnacentral:rRNA from 1 species